UACGAAGGUGGCAAGCGUUGUUCGGAUUCACUGGGCGUACAGGGCGUGUAGGCGGUUUGGUAAGCCUUCUGUUAAAGCUUCGGGCCCAACCCGGAAAGCGCAGAGGGUACUGCCAGGCUAGAGGACGGGAGAGGAGCGCGGAAUUCCCGGUGUAGCGGUGAAAUGCGUAGAGAUCGGGAGGAGGGCCGGUGGCGAAGGCGGCGCUCUGGAACGUUACUGACGCUGAGACACGAAAGCGUGGGGAGCAAACAGG
rnacentral:rRNA from 1 species